rnacentral:rRNA from 1 species
CCUACGGGUGGCAGCAGUGGGGAAUAUUGGGCAAUGGGCGCAAGCCUGACCCAGCAACGCCGCGUGAAGGAAGAAGGCUUUCGGGUUGUAAACUUCUUUUAAGGGGGAAGAGCAGAAGACGGUACCCCUUGAAUAAGCUACGGCUAACUACGUGCCAGCAGCCGCGGUAAUACGUAGGUGGCAAGCGUUGGCCGGAUUUACUGGGUGUAAAGGGCGUGCAGCCGGAGAGACAAGUCAGAGGUGAAAUCCACGGGCUCAACCCUUGAACUGCAUUUGAAACUGUUUCCCUUGAGUGUCUGAGAGGUAAUCGGAAUGCCUGGUGUAGCGGUGAAAUGCGUAGAUAUAAGGAAGAACACCAGUGGCGAAGGCGGUCUGCUGGACAGCAACUGACGCUGAGGCGCGAAAGCGUGGGGAGCGAACAGGAUUAGAUACCCCUGUAGUC